rnacentral:rRNA from 1 species
GACGAACGCUGGCGGCGUGCCUAAUACAUGCAAGUUGAGCGCUGAAGGUUGGUACUUGUACCGACUGGAUGAGCAGCGAACGGGUGAGUAACGCGUGGGGAAUCUGCCUUUGAGCGGGGGACAACAUUUGGAAACGAAUGCUAAUACCGCAUAAAAACUUUAAACACAAGUUUUAAGUUUGAAAGAUGCAAUUGCAUCACUCAAAGAUGAUCCCGCGUUGUAUUAGCUAGUUGGUGAGGUAAAGGCUCACCAAGGCGAUGAUACUUAGCCGACCUGAGAGGGUGAUCGGCCACAUUGGGACUGAGACACGGCCCAAACUCCUACGGGAGGCAGCAGUAGGGAAUCUUCGGCAAUGGACGAAAGUCUGACCGAGCAACGCCGCGUGAGUGAAGAAGGUUGUCGGAUCGUAAAACUCGGUUGGUAGAGAAGAACGUUGGUGAGAGUGGAAAGCUCAUCAAGUGACGGUAACUACCCAGAAAGGGACGGCUAACUACGUG